rnacentral:rRNA from 1 species
CCUACGGGAGGCAGCAGUGGGGAAUAUUGGGCAAUGGGCGCAAGCCUGACCCAGCAACGCCGCGUGAAGGAAGAAGGCUUUCGGGUUGUAAACUUCUUUUCUGAGGGACGAAGAAAGUGACGGUACCUCAGGAAUAAGCCACGGCUACCUACGUGCCAGCAGCCGCCGUACUACGUAGGUGGCAAGCGUUAUCCGGAUUUAUUGGGGGUAAAGGGCGUGAAGGCGGGAAAGCAAGUCAGAUGUGAAAACUCAGGGCUCAACGCUGAGCCUGCAGUUGAAACUGUUUGUCUUGAGUGCGGGAGAGGCAAGUGGAAUUCCGGGUGUAGGGGUGAAAUGCGUAGAUAUACGGAGGAACACCAGUGGCGAAGGCGGAUUGCUGGACAGUAACUGACGCUGAGGCGCGAAAGCGUGGGUAGCAAACAGGAUUAGAUACCCCAGUAGUC